UACGUAGGGGGCAAGCGUUGUCCGGAAUCAUUGGGCGUAAAGAGCGUGUAGGCGGUUCGGUAAGUCGGCUGUGAAAGUCCAGGGCUCAACCCUGGGAUGCCGGUCGAUACUGCAGGGCUAGAGUCCGGAAGAGGCGAGUGGAAUUCCUGGUGUAGCGGUGGAAUGCGCAGAUAUCAGGAGGAACACCAAUAGCGAAGGCAGCUCGCUGGGACGGUACUGACGCUAAGGUGCGAAAGCGUGGGGAGCGAACAGG
rnacentral:rRNA from 1 species